UCCAGUCUGAGGAGAAGAGACCAGAGGAGGAUCUGGUGAGGUCCUAAUAGAUUCCCCCAGGCAGAUUGAUCAUUCUAUAACUGGCCCGGAAAUGAUGAAGAUACCGUAAAGAGACACAUUUGUCCAUCAUGCUGACAAUCAGACUAUUGAAAUAAUGGAUUUCAAGAAAUUAAAAUCUAACUCUGGAAGAAGAAAAAACUUAAAGCCUGGUCCAGCCAAAGGGAAAACUUUUCUCAAAAAGAUUUACAACAUGUCAGAGCACCUUCCAAGAAGUGACAGUGAGUGUAUGAUGGGUGGACCGCACCUUGACCAGGUCUGCUUAGAUGUGGGUAACUCUGGCCUCUGCUGUAACCUUUCUUCAGGGUAUGUAACCUUACAAAAUGGGGUCGUAGGGGUCAUUGGAUCUUUGUCCCUCUUCCUAAUGACUGAACACAAUUUGUUUUCUACUUCUCACUA